UAUCCGGGUCAAUGUUCACUUUGUUCAGAGGGACAAAAAGAAAAUGCUUAUGUGUGAUGACCCUCAUGCCAUCAUGAAUUUCAAGGAUAGUGUCAAAGAUACUGGGCCUGUGAAGCAGCUGGCACAAUGCUUAGCAAUGUUCAGCAUGAAUCCAGAUGAAUCCAGAACCUACACAUGCAGGUUCCUAUGAUUCUCGUGUUACUUGUUGGUAUGUAGGUGUGUAUGAGGCACGCACUUAUUUGUGGAUUAGUUCCAUUUUCUGCGUGGGGAUUUUAGAUUUGCAUGCACCUUUUUUUUUUAAUGAAUAGAGUCAAUAAGUGAUAGCAUUCCAGAACUGCAUAGAACAUUUGUAUUCUUGAGCUGGUUAUUAUCUGAUGCCUUUUCUGGGGCUGGUUCCUGAGGACUAAGACAGGAGGAAUCUGCAGGCAGCACCAGCUCUGCAUCUUCCAGAGCAGCAGGUCUUAAGCCUAAAUGUAUGUUAGCAUCACUUGGGGAUUUUUUUUUUUUUCGUUUUUUCUUUUUCUUUUUUUUUUUCUUUUUUUGGCUUUUCUAGGGCCACGCCCAUGGCAUAUGGAGGUUCCCAGGCUAAGGGUCUAAUCGGAGCUGUAGCCACCAGCCUAUGCCACAGCCAUAGCAAAGCGGGAUCUAAGCCACAUCUGCGACCUACACCACAGCUCACAGUAACGCUGGAUCCUUAACCCACUGAGCGAGGCCAGGGAUCGAACCCACAACCUCAUGGUGCCUAGUCAAAUUCGUUAACCACUGAGCCACGACGGGAACUCUACUUGGGGAUUUUUUUUUUUUUUUAAGAUGCUGAAGUCUGAGCUUCCUGAGCUAAUUGGUCAAAAAAAUCAUACCAUUAAUUGUCUACCAGGGAACACUGAUAAGAAUCACCAAAGUGACAGGAAAGUAGAAAGUUCCCAAGGAGGGAAGCACCGGAAAUCAUCUUUAAAAGAUUGAAAUGAUGCACCCAAAAGGGCUUCAGCAUUUGUUUGUUAUAAUCACCCAAGGCAGGCCUUACACAGAGGCUCACAGAGCCUGGAAAUAAGCUACCCUAGAGAAGAACCAAUCGUGGCCACUUAUAAGGAUAUUCCUAAAGAGGUGAGCAAGCAGGCAAAAAAUCAAUAUGCAAUAGGAGGUGAUGACAGAUGUGACAGUGGUGGGUAAAAAUUAGGAGCCCAGAGGAGAAAGAGCCUCUCCCAAGUGAGGUAGAAGUGACAUUGGACUUGAUCCUUAAAGGAUGUGGAACUUCACCAGAUAAAGGAGCUGGAACCGGGUGAGGAGCAGGACUCUGGAAAUAGAAGCUUCUCACCCAGGAAUGUUCCCAGGUCUGUCACUUUAUGCUUCCAGAUACCAUCUGCUGCCGGUUCUGUCCUCUGCUCUGUAACUGCGGGAGUGUUAACUAAAUGAUGGUUUAACAGAGACCAGCAGAAGUCUAAGGGAAAUGUCCCAAGAGUGACAAUGCCAGUACAAGUGACCGAGGGUCACCAAAGGGCUUCUGAUGGCAACACCCACCCCCAGAAGGAGCUGCAGCUGAAGUCCAAAGUUUGGGCUCUAAAGAGAAGGGUGGGGAUGACAGGAGGAUUUUUAUAACUUGGAGGUCGUAGCGCAUCUCCUCUCUAGAGGUGGUAACAGAAAAACCCAGAGGUGCAACGACUGGCCGCACCCCGGCAUAUGGAAGUUCCCGGGCUAGGGGUCAAAUUGGAGCUGCAGGUGCCACAGCAACCCCAGAUCCAGUCCACAUCUGUGGACUAUGCCACAGCUUGUGGCAAUGCCGGGUCCUUCAUCCAUUGAGUGAGACCAGGGAUCAAACCUGCAUCCUCACAGAGACCACAUUAGGUCCUCAACCCACUGAGCCACAACAGGAACUCCUGGAUUGAGUUUCUUAUCCAGUAGUUCUUCCAAUUUUUUUUGACUUUUUAAAAAUCUUUUUUAAAUUAAAAAAAUGUUUAUUAUAGUUGAUUGACAGUGUCCUGUCAAUUUCUGCUGUACAGCAAAGUGACACCCAAGUUAUAUAUAUGUAUGUGUGUGUAUGUGUAUACAUUCUUUUUCUCAUAUCUUCCAUUAUUUUCCAUCACAAGGGAUUGGAUGUAGUUCUCUAAGCUAUACAGCAGGAUCUCAUUGCUUAUUCACUCCAAAUGCAACAGUUCGCAUCUACUAACCCCAAACUCCCAGUCCAUCCCACUCCCUCCCCCUCCUGCUUGGCAACCACAAGUCUGUUCUCUGCCCAUGAGUUUGUUUCUGUUUUGUAGAUAGGUUCAUUUGUGCCACGUUUUAGAUUCCACAUAUAAGUGAUAUCAUAUGGUAUUUGUCCUUCUCUUUCUGACUUACUUCACUUAGUAUGAGAAUCUCUAGUUCUAUCCAUGUUGCUGCAAAUGGUAUUUUCUUUUUUAUGGCUGAGUAGUAUUCCUUUGUGUAUAUAUACCACAUCUUCUUAAUCCAUUCAUCUGUCAAUGGACAUUUAGGCUGUUUCCAUGUCUUGGCUAUUGUGAAUAGUGCUGGAAUGAAUAUAGUGGUGCAUGUAUCUUUUAGAAUGAAAGUUUUUUUAUCCAGAUAUAUGCCCAGGAGUGGGAUUACUGAAACUUCUGGUAGUUCUAUAUUUAGUUCUCUGAGGAACCUCCAUACUGUUUUCCAUAAUGGUUGUACCAGUCUACAUUCCCACCAACAGAGAAGUAGGGUUCCCUUUUCUCCACACCCUCUCUAGCAUUUGUUAUUUGUAGACUUAUUAAUGAUAGCUGUUCUGACCAGUGUGAGAUGGUACCUCAUUGUAGUUUUGAUCUACAUU
rnacentral:lncRNA from 1 species